GACGAACGCUGGCGGCGCGCCUAACACAUGCAAGUCGAGCGAGAACCAGCCCUUCGGGGGCUGGGGACAGCGGCGAACGGGUGAGUAACACGUGGGUGAUCUACCCUCGGUUCUGGGAUAGCCCGGGAAACCCGGAUUAAUACCGGAUGGGCCUUUCGAGUCUUCGGGCCCGAAAGAAAAGGUAGCUUCGGCCUCCGACCGAGGAUGAGCCCGCGGCCGAUUAGCUUGUUGGUGGGGUAAUGGCCCACCAAGGCGACGANCGGUAGCUGGUCUGAGAGGACGAUCAGCCACACUGGGACUGAGACACGGCCCAGACUCCUACGGGAGGCAGCAGUGGGGAAUCUUGCGCAAUGGGCGAAAGCCUGACGCAGCCAUGCCGCGUGAGUGAUGAAGGCC
rnacentral:rRNA from 1 species